GCGCCUGUAGCUCAAUGGAUAGAGCAUCGGAUUUCUAAUCCGACGGUUGGAGGUUCGAGUCCUCUCAGGCGCG
rnacentral:tRNA from 1 species